AGGUUUCUUUGUCAGCAACUGGAUUGCUACCUGAUUUCCUUCCUCAGAGCUCUGCUCAGAAGCAGCCUUGAUCUCAGGAGUGUCCAAGGUGAGAGCAGGGCUUUGCGUCCAGGAGACCUGGAACUGUCCUUGCUCACGUGGCAGAGGCAGCAGAGGUGGAGGCAUUUUGUGGUUCCAUUAAUAGAGGAUGGAAGACAGAAGUGGAAAUGCUGGGGCUCCCUGAAUGAUGCCCUAAGGCUGGGAAGCAGCUGCAGUUCCUGUGUGUAGGCUGGAGGCCAUUCCAUGAAGUCCCUAGAGAAAAAGGGGGCCUCUCAUGGGUCUCGGGUAUUUGAGGGCAUGGGGGUUGGGGCACAUGGGGGUUGAGGCUUGUGAGGGUUAGUUCGUGUAAGGGUUGGGUGUAUGAAUGUUGGGGCAUGUGGGGGUUGAGGUGUGUGAGCGUUGGGGCAUGUAAGAUUUGGGUGUAUGAGUGUUGGGGUGUGUGAGGGUUGUGGUAUGAGAACUAGUGUGUGUGAGGGUUAUGAUGUGGUUGGGGUAGAGGGCUCGGGUAUGUGAGGGAGGGUCUUGUGAUCUCUUGGGCUAUUUGGUGGGGGCUAGGUAUUGUGGGUGGAGGUCACUGAACUUGAAGGGAGACUUUAGAAUCCUUAGACUGACCCUUAACCCAAGCUUCUGAUAUGGCAUCACAAUACUAUAAGUAGAACCUUCUUUGUCAAGUGCAGAGGCAUUCACAGCUGAGCAGUGGAAGCAGCCCAGUGUGUCCUCUGAUGGCUGACUAGGGCGCUGGCUAGAGUGGGUUUGGCACACUAGUCUGGCCAAGCCCUUUUAUUCCCAGCGGCAACAGGAAAGGAGGGCAGAGCACUGGGCAGCACUGAGUGUGGGGCCUUCUGCUGCACGAUUCCCUCCCCUCCUCGCUACUCUGUCCCCAAGGCCACCUGCGGAAGUCAGGUCUUCAAAACCUGGGGACUGUGUGAAGCCUGUGGGAGAGCCGCUGCUCAGGCAGCUCCGGACGGUGGGGCUCUGCCUGCCCUUCCUGGUGGCCAAGUCAGAAGCAGUCUUGGGUUAGAGUCGUGGACCUGACCUCUUGUUGCCACCGUGGGCCUGGCCUUGGAGAUCCAGUGUCUCCAUCUGCGGCUGGGUUCAUGUUCCAGAGUCACUUCAAGGAUCUAUUGGAGGAGGAGAUGAACCACGAGACACUGUGGACUCUGAGAAGCAAACUGAGGGUUUUGGAGGGGAAAAGGGUGGGGAUUGGGUGAGCCUGGUGGUGGGCAUUGUGGAGGGCACAUAUUGCAUGGAGCACUGGGUGUGGUGCAUAAAUAAUGAAACUUGGAACACUGAAAAAAUAAAAUAAAAUUAAAAAAAUAGGACCUACCAUGCAGAACAAUGAUGAAUAAUAGCUAUGAUGGUUGUCUUGUUUUUGACCAUAAUGGAAACUUUUUAUUCUUUCAUUA